AACCUCUGGUGUAUCGGUUGUCUUACCAAAGGCAUGGCCGAGUAGCCAAGUUUGGAAGGGAUAAACGCUGAAGGCAUCUAAGCGUGAAGCCCCCCUCAAGAUAAGAUAUCCCUGCCGAAAGGCAAUAAGACCCCUUGCAGACUACGAGGUAGAUAGGUCAGAGGUGGAAGUGUGGCAACACAUGGAGCUGACUGAUACUAAUAGGUCGAAGGCUUAAUCA
rnacentral:rRNA from 1 species